rnacentral:rRNA from 1 species
GAUGAACGCUGGCGGCGUGCCUAAUACAUGCAAGUCGAGCGAACAGACGAGAGUGCUUGCACUCUCUGACGUUAGCGGCGGACGGGUGAGUAACACGUGGGUAACCUACCUAUAAGACUGGGAUAACUUCGGGAAACCGGAGCUAAUACCGGAUAAUAUUUAGCUUCGCAUGAAGCAAUAGUGAAAGACGGUUCUGCUGUCACUUAUAGAUGGACCCGCGGUGUAUUAGCUGGUUGGUGAGGUAACGGCUCACCAAGGCAACGAUACAUAUCCGACCUGAGAGGGUGAUCGGCCACACUGGGACUGAGACACUGCCCAGACUCCUACGGGAGGCAGCAGUAGGGAAUCUUCCGCAAUGGACGAAAGUCUGACGGAGCAAUGCCGCGUGAGUGAAGAAGGUUUUCGGAUCGUAAAACUCUGUUGUAAGGGAAGAACAAGUACGUUAGUAACUGAACGUACCUUGACGGUACCUUACCAGAAAGCCACGGCUAACUACGUG